rnacentral:rRNA from 1 species
AUUGAACGCUGGCGGCAGGCCUAACACAUGCAAGUCGAACGGUAACAGGAAGCAGCUUGCUGCUUCGCUGACGAGUGGCGGACGGGUGAGUAAUGUCUGGGAAACUGCCUGAUGGAGGGGAAUAACUACUGGAAACGGUAGCUAAUACCGCAUAACGUCGCAAGACCAAAGAGGGGGACCUUCGGGCCUCUUGCCAUCGGAUGUGCCCAGAUGGGAUUAGCUUGUUGGUGGGGUAACGGCUCACCAAGGCGACGAUCCCUAGCUGGUCUGAGAGGAUGACCAGCCACACUGGAACUGAGACACGGUCCAGACUCCUACGGGAGGCAGCAGUGGGGAAUAUUGCACAAUGGGCGCAAGCCUGAUGCAGCCAUGCCGCGUGUAUGAAGAAGGCCUUCGGGUUGUAAAGUACUUUCAGCGGGGAGGAAGGGAGUAAAGUUAAUACCUUUGCUCAUUGACGUUACCCGCAGAAGAAGCACCGGCUAACUCCGUGCCAGCAGCCGCGGUAAUACGGAGGGUGCAAGCGUUAAUCGGAAUUACUGGGCG